UAAGUCUUCUCUGGGGAGCUCCCUCUCUGCAGGAGCCUCCUGCUAGCGUUCCAAGUUGCUCUCAAGUUUUCCCACAGCCUUGCUCAGCCCGGUUCCUCUCCUUCCCAUCCUGUACUCUUCCUCCCUGCCUGCUCCGGGCUCCUCUUUAUAUUGAAGUUUGAUUUCCCAGCCCGUCCCCUCCAGAAACACCUGGGAAUAACAGUUCUGCAUAACAAAUGAUAGUGGUCCAUGCUGAAUCAAUCCGUUCAAGGGAUGUGCCAUAUUCAAUUUCCUUCCUGAAAAUGGAGACUUCCUGAGCAAGUUAAUGGCUUCAAUAAAGGGAAAGAUUUGAGGUCUCAAACUGCAGGGAUUUAACUGAAGUAGCAUCUGAAGAGCUGCUGGAAAACCAGAUCUAUGCAUCAGCCUCACAACCCCAGAUGGAAAAUAAGCUGCUUUUAAAGGAACAGGAGAAAAAGGAAGAAAAAGAAGAUUGGCAGUUUGUGACUAAGUGAGAAAAAAGAAUCAGUAGAUGUUCCACCCAGCUAGAUUGAGAAGAGGAAGGGCAGCCCAAAAGCAUCUUUAGAAAGAGGACAAGGAGAAAUGUAACCGACGUGGUAGAACUUACUAUUGUAAGUGCAUAGAAUAUUUUUAAUUUUUUUUUCCUGUAGAAGAGAAACAAAAUCUCCUUGACAUAUACUGACAGAUGAGAUGUUGCAAGCAAGUUGAAGAUUGCAAGCAAGCGUCCAAACAUAAAUGCACUUUGGCAAAGAUGGCACUGCCUCAGAAGACAGUUGGUAAAUCACUUGGAUCUUCAGGUGAUCACCUUGGACACUUUUUGUGGCCCACAAAUUUGUGGGACAUUGAACCAUGUUCUAUGGGGAGGGCAGAUUGCAUGGUUGGGAUCAUUUAUGUCCCAGCUGAGGAGAAACCAAUCUUCACAAUUAUAUACUAGCUAAAACAGUCAGGAGGGCUUUAAUCUAGCAUCUAAUUGCUGUCUUGUUAAUUACUGUUGCUAAAAGCUUGAAUCCCAUUGUAAGUGGGUUAGUGUACCUGCUCCCAUGCAGGCAGGCUUUGUCCCCUUAGAAGCACCUCAGCCAAUCCAAAUAAUAGCCUAGAAGUCAUCUUGAGUACCUGCCGCCUCACUAGCUGGCUUUGCUCACCUGGGAGCCCCUCAGCCAGUCCUUGUAAGGCAGCAGAAGGCCGUUUUAGCUCUGGCUCUUCUUAGAUGCAAGCUCUUUUGGGUUGCAGUCUGCCUCCUAAACACAAACUGCUCCUUCCCCAGAUCAAGUAGCUUGCUUUUUUUCCUAUUAGGUUUUAGCUGCCAGGUAAUUACCUACAGCUGGGCUCCUACUCCACAGAUGUCUACCCCACUUAAAGGACCAGACUGUCCUGCUACACCCAUCUUAGUUGUCCCAUUUCUUUAGAGACAAACAACUACUGUAGCAAACCAAUUUACUUCUGGAAUUUAUUUUGGUAUUGGAGAAAUCUUGCAAACAUUUUAAAUAUAAAUUCAAAUUGCAUGGAUACUUAUAAAAUUGCAUGGAUUUAAAAAAAAAAAAAGUUUUUCAUGAAUGUUUUGUGUUCUGACCAUAUAAAAGUUGUCAGUUUUUAAAUGAAAUAGAGAACUUCUUACAACAAACUUCAAUUAAAAUUUCUACAUUUUUCAACUAACUCUAGUAGUCAAAACUAUGCUUAGCACUUCCUCUCCCUUUAGAACUUGACAUGGAGCAUAAAUGAUGAUGGGACUUUAACUUUAAAUUACAGUUUUGUUUAGAAAUGAUUUCCAACAGUACAACAGUUUUUUUGAAAGCCCUAGAUUCUUGACUCAUUCCUCCAUGGCAUUUUUGGAUUUUACCCUCAUUACAGACACUGUUUGUGUCAGCCAUAGAAACUGGAAAGGUGAGUUUUAAUGAUUAUUAAAUUUGUGUUCCUCAGUGAUAGCUUCAAAAUGCCUCUGGAGUUCAUGCCACAAAAUAUGACCAGUAAAAAGCUAAGCCUCAUAUACAUGAAAGUUUUACUGUAUACAGAUGAGAUAUUUGGAAGUGAGAAAUAAUAUAUAUAAAAUUGAUGGAUUGACUGAAAAAUCUUUCUCUACCACUUGAACUAGUGUAGUCCGCAGGUUUGUCAUUGCCCUGAAAUAGAAUAGUUUUCUGAAAGCAUACUGUUAGGUUUACAAUAAUUUGGAUUUUUAAGAAGUAUUAGCUUUACAGCUGAAUACAAGGCAUGACCUGUGGCCUAGUAAUGCAGCUGACCACAAGGCAGAAUGAUAGCUAGGCCUUUGCUUGUGUCAAGUAAUCAUUUUAACUGCAACAAGCAUUUUCUGAGUUAAAAAGUGAAUCUGUGUCUGUGUGCUAAAAAAAAUCAGCUACAGCUAGAAGUAAGAUAAGACAGAGAAACCAUUGUUUGAGCUUACUGGUUGUGUCCUUGAGAAGUAUCUUCUACUGUGUAAGGUUUUGCUAACAUAACGUUACUGUUACUUAACUUUUAGCUUUUAAAAAGUGCUAGUUCAGCUUAAUAGAAAUAUGCUGUUACAAAGAUUUGUAGAGCACCGCCCCAAGUAUUGCUUUUUGUUAACCAUAUAGUCUUGCUUUGUUGUAAGAAGUAUAAAAGAUCGCCUCACCCUUGAGGGGGGGCCAUUUUGCCUUUUGCUGGCUUUAUGGUCUUUGCUCGAGCAAAUAAACAGCUGUCUUUCUUUA